GUGGGGAAUCUUGCGCAAUGGGCGAAAGCCUGACGCAGCCAUGCCGCGUGGAUGAUGAAGGUCUUAGGAUUGUAAAAUCCUUUCACCGGUGAAGAUAAUGACUGUAGCCGGAGAAGAAGCCCCGGCUAACUUCGUGCCAGCAGCCGCGGUAAUACGAAGGGGGCUAGCGUUGCUCGGAUUUACUGGGCGUAAAGGGCGCGUAGGCGGACAUUUAAGUCAGGGGUGAAAUCCCGGGGCUCAACCUCGGAACUGCCUUUGAUACUGGGUGUCUUGAGUAUGAGAGAGGUGUGUGGAACUCCGAGUGUAGAGGUGAAAUUCGUAGAUAUUCGGAAGAACACCAGUGGCGAAGGCGACACACUGGCUCAUUACUGACGCUGAGGCGCGAAAGCGUGGGGAGCAAACAGGAUUAGAAACCCCAGUAGUCC
rnacentral:rRNA from 1 species